rnacentral:lncRNA from 1 species
GGGCGAAAGGGAGGGAUACAGCAAGAGAGAGAGAAAGAGCCGUCCACAGGCGUGUGGGGGAAGAAAAGGAAAGAAAUGGCUUAUUUAUAAAAUAGUCACGGUUCUGGAAGCUUCCGAAUAUGAAUGUGAUCCAUUACAGAUAAAAAGGACAUGGACAUGAUAUGGAUAAGAAUGAACAUCACACUUUUAAUGCACAUUCUUCAGACCAGAGUGACCUGUUUCUGAAAGGAGCCGCGGGAACAAUGAUCUGAGGCAGGAGAAAGCUGGGAGAAGAGCUGUAUAUUACAUUUCUGGAAGAGUUCUCCAGUGGUUGACCAGUAAUGAAUCUCUUAUUCAGUUAAAGAUGGACCAGAGAGAUGUUUGUUGUAAGUCAUCACCUGCAAUAAAAAGUCACAUUAACAAACAUCUA